rnacentral:rRNA from 1 species
CGCAAGCCUGAUGCAGCCAUGCCGCGUGUGUGAAGAAGGCCUUCGGGUUGUAAAGCACUUUCAGUAAGGAGGAAAGGUUAAGUGUUAAUAGCACUUAGCUGUGACGUUACUUACAGAAGAAGCACCGGCUAACUCCGUGCCAGCAGCCGCGGUAAUACGGAGGGUGCGAGCGUUAAUCGGAAUUACUGGGCGUAAAGCGUACGCAGGCGGUUUGUUAAGCGAGAUGUGAAAGCCCCGGGCUCAACCUGGGAACUGCAUUUCGAACUGGCAAACUAGAGUGUGAUAGAGGGUGGUAGAAUUUCAGGUGUAGCGGUGAAAUGCGUAGAGAUCUGAAGGAAUACCGAUGGCGAAGGCAGCCACCUGGGUCAACACUGACGCUCAUGUACGAAAGCGUGGGGAGCAAACAGGAUUAGAUACCCUGGUAGUCCACGCCGUAAACGAUGUCUACUAGAAGCUCGGGUCUUCGGACUUGUUUUUCAAAGCUAACGCAUUAAGUAGACCGCCUGG